AACGAACGCUGGCGGCAUGCCUAACACAUGCAAGUCGAACGAGACCUUCGGGUCUAGUGGCGCACGGGUGCGUAACGCGUGGGAAUCUACCCUUGGGUUCGGAAUAACAGUUAGAAAUGACUGCUAAUACCGGAUGAUGACGUAAGUCCAAAGAUUUAUCGCCCAAGGAUGAGCCCGCGUAAGAUUAGCUUGUUGGUGGGGUAAUGGCCUACCAAGGCGACGACCUUUAGCUGGUCUGAGAGGAUGAUCAGCCACACUGGGACUGAGACACGGCCCAGACUCCUACGGGAGGCAGCAGUGGGGAAUAUUGGACAAUGGGCGAAAGCCUGAUCCAGCAAUGCCGCGUGAGUGAUGAAGGCCUUAGGGUUGUAAAGCUCUUUUACCAGGGAUGAUAAUGACAGUACCUGGAGAAUAAGCUCCGGCUAACUCCGUGCCAGCCGCCGCCGUAAUAC
rnacentral:rRNA from 1 species